rnacentral:rRNA from 1 species
CCCUUAGAUGUUCUGGGCCGCACACGCGCUACACUGAAGGAGGCAGCGUGUACUCCUGGAUCGAAAGAUUUGGGUAACCCGCGAAUCUCCUUCGUGCUAGGGAUUGAGGUUUGCAAUUAUCCUUCAUGAACGAGGAAUUCCCAGUAAGUGCAAGUCAUAAGCUUGCGCUGACUACGUCCCUGCCCUUUGUACACACCGCCCGUCGCUACUACCGAUUGAAUGAUUUAGUGAGGACUUCGGACUGGGACCGAUGCGGCUUGCGGGCUGCGUCGGUAUGCUGGAAAGAUGUCCAAACUGUAUCAUUUAGAGGAAGUAAAAGUCGUAACA